CAGGCUGCCCUUGGAUGUGGGGGGAGUCAGGUGCUGGGAGCUCAUGGUGGGCACCGGGGCGAUGGGAGCACUUGCCAGGGGCAGGGAGUGCAGAGGCGUGGAAGCUGCAGAAAACAAGGGCCAUGUCCCUCUCAAGAUGAAAGGGACCUGGUAGGCCUGCUACACAGUCUUGCAACGACCCUCAAAAGUUUCUGCAAAAUGCACAUUUCCAGGCCCUGCCCUAACCCAGCUGGGAGAUCCCUAAGUGCUGCCUGCUUGGCAUCUGUGACGGUGCCAAGGCAGGGACUGGGAGGGAAGCCGCGUGUCCCAGCCCUGCCUGCACCCAAGGAUCGAAGCCCCAGACACAUAGUGCCUGGCAGAGGGAGGAUGGGAUGAGGACCUUGGACCCACGUCUCCCUCCAGACCCACAACCAUGUCUAAAAGGAGAAGGGGGGAGCAGAAUCAUAUUAAUUUGGACCCAUGGGAUGAGUGUUUUAUUCAUGCUGUUUCCAGGAAGGGAUGUCAGAGCUGGACCAGUCGAAACCCUUGGAGGCUUUUUUUGCAGUUGGCCACAGGGGCGUUGGAGGCCUGCUUAUGGGUCCUCGAUGUCGAGAAACUCCUGCUUGGGGGGCGCCGCGCCGCGGUACCACGCACAGGAGCCGUCACUUCUCUUGAUGCAGGCGAAGAACUUGGCCUGGUGCCCGUUGAUGUUCUUCUCUGUGACCCAGUCCAUCCAGAGGCACUCGUCCGGGGAGGAGAUGUAGCACGGG
rnacentral:lncRNA from 1 species